AGUGAACGCUGGCGGUAGGCCUAACACAUGCAAGUCGAACGGCAGCACAGUAAGAGCUUGCUCUUACGGGUGGCGAGUGGCGGACGGGUGAGGAAUACAUCGGAAUCUACUUUUUCGUGGGGGAUAACGUAGGGAAACUUACGCUAAUACCGCAUACGACCUACGGGUGAAAGUAGGGGAUCUUCGGACCUUGCGCGAUUGAAUGAGCCGAUGUCGGAUUAGCUAGUUGGCGGGGUAAAGGCCCACCAAGGCGACGAUCCGUAGCUGGUCUGAGAGGAUGAUCAGCCACACUGGAACUGGGACACGGUCCAGACUCCUACGGGAGGCAGCAGUGGGGAAUAUUGGACAAUGGGCGGAAGCCUGAUCCAGCCAUACCGAGUGGGUGAAGAAGGCCUUCGGGUUGUAAAGCCCUUUUGUUGGGAAAGAAAAGCAGCAGGUUAAUACCACGCUGUUCUGACGGUACCCAAAGAAUAAGCACCGGCUAACUUCGUG
rnacentral:rRNA from 1 species